rnacentral:rRNA from 1 species
UCGACGGAGUUCGAUGAACCUAGUGAUUCAUAACUUAGUGGCGGACGGGUGAGUAACGCGUGGAUAACCUGCCUUACACUGGGGGAUAACACUUAGAAAUAGGUGCUAAUACCGCAUAAGCGCACAGAGCCGCAUGGCUCAGUGUGAAAAACUCCGGUGGUGUAAGAUGGAUCCGCGUCUGAUUAGCUAGUUGGCGGGGUAGAAGCCCACCAAGGCGACGAUCAGUAGCCGGCCUGAGAGGGUGAACGGCCACAUUGGGACUGAGACACGGCCCAAACUCCUACGGGAGGCAGCAGUGGGGAAUAUUGCACAAUGGGGGAAACCCUGAUGCAGCAACGCCGCGUGAGUGAAGAAGUCAUUCGUGAUGUAAAGCUCUAUCAGCAGGGAAGAAAAUGACGGUACCUGAGUAAGAAGCCCCGGCUAACUACGUGCCAGCAGCCGCGGUAAUACGUAGGGGGCAAGCGUUAUCCGGAUUUACUGGGUGUAAAGGGAGCGUAGACGGCCAGACAAGUCUGAAGUGAAAAUCCAGCGCUUAACGUUGGAAGUGCUUUGGAAACUGCCGGGCUAGAGUGCAGGAGGGGCAGGCGGAAUUCCUAGUGUAGCGGUGAAGUGCGUAGAUAUUAGGAGGAACACCAGUGGCGAAGGCGGCCUGCUGGACUGCAACUGACGUUGAGGCUCGAAGGCGUGGGGAGCAAACAGGAUUAGAUACCCUGGUAGUCCACGCGGUAAACGAUGAUUACUAGGUGUCGGGGGGCUAG